GAUCCUGGCUUAGGACGAACGCUGGCGGCGUGCUUAACACAUGCAAGUCGAACGGGAGUAUUGAAGAAGCUUGCUUUAGAGAUACUUUAGUGGCGGACGGGUGAGUAACGCGUGAGGAGCUGUCCUAUGCAGGGGGACAACAGCUGGAAACGGCUGCUAAUACCCCAUAAGCCGAGAGGUAAAAGGAUCAAUCCGGCAGAGGAGGUACUCGCGUCCUAUCAGCUAGUAGGUGAGGUAACGGCUCACCUAGGCGAAGACGGGUAGCCGGCCUGAGAGGGCGAACGGCCACACUGGAACUGAGAUACGGUCCAGACUCCUACGGGAGGCAGCAGUGGGGAAUAUUGGGCAAUGGGGGGAAAAACCCCUGACCCAGCGACGCCGCGUGGGUGAAGAAAUCCUUCGGGAUGUAAAGCCCUGUUGUAUGGGAAGAGCGGAAGACGGUACCAUACGAGGAAGCCCCGGCAAACUACGUGCCAGCAGCGGC
rnacentral:rRNA from 1 species